rnacentral:rRNA from 1 species
UACGGGGGGGGGCAAGCGUUGUUCGGAAUUACUGGGCGUAAAGGGCUCGUAGGCGGCCAACUAAGUCAGACGUGAAAUCCCUCGGCUUAACCGGGGAACUGCGUCUGAUACUGGAUGGCUUGAGUUUGGGAGAGGGAUGCGGAAUUCCUGGUGUAGCGGUGAAAUGCGCAGAUAUCAGGAAGAACACCCGUGGCGAAGGCGGCUCUCUGGGACGGUACU